rnacentral:rRNA from 1 species
UACGGAGGGGGGCUAGCGUUGUUCGGAAUUACUGGGCGUAAAGCGCACGUAGGCGGCUUUGCAAGUUAGAGGUGAAAGCCCGGGGCUCAACUCCGGAAUUGCCUUUAAAACUGCAUCGCUAGAAUUGUGGAGAGGUAAGUGGAAUUCCGAGUGUAGAGGUGAAAUUCGUAGAUAUUCGGAAGAACACCAGUGGCGAAGGCGACUUACUGGACACAUAUUGACGCUGAGGUGCGAAAGCGUGGGGAUCAAACAGG